rnacentral:lncRNA from 1 species
UCAAGGAUAGACUUGCCUCGGGAUGUUAAGGAGGAUAUCCGUCAUCAGUUAAGAUGAACAUAUCAAGGAUAAACUCUGCAAGGAGAAAUAGGAAUUACAUCUAUCAGUUACUGGAUAGACUAUCAUCGGAGAGAAAAAUCCGUCACCGGUUAGGAACAUAUCAAGGAUUAACUCUGUAGGGGAGAAAGUAGGAUUUACAACUGCUGGUUACUGGGCAAAAG